AAGUAAUUAGUUUAUUGAAAAUAUUAGUUUUGGAGAUUAAUGAUUAUUAUUUUACUUU
rnacentral:tRNA from 1 species